AUUGAACGCUGGCGGCAUGCCUUACACAUGCAAGUCGAGCGGCAGCGCGGGGGCAACCCUGGCGGCGAGCGGCGGACGGGUGAGUAAUACAUCGGAACGUGUCCUUUCGCGGGGGAUAACCAGUCGAAAGACUGGCUAAUACCGCAUGAGAUCUCACGAUAGAAAGCGAGGGACCGCAAGGCCUCGCGCGAUUGGAGCGGCCGAUGCCGGAUUAGCAGUUGGCGGGGUAAAGCCCACCAAGCUACGAUCCGUAGCUGGUUUGAGAGAACGACCAGCCACACUGGGACUGAGACACGGCCCAGACUCCUACGGGAGGCAGCAGGUGGGGUAAUUUUGGACAAGUGGGGGCAACCCUGAUCCAGCCAUGCCGCGUGUGUGAAGAAGGCCUGGUGUAAG
rnacentral:rRNA from 1 species